GGAAGAGUUUGAUCCUGGCUCAGAUUGAACGCUGGCGGCAUGCCUUACACAUGCAAGUCGAACGGUAACAGGUCUUCGGAUGCUGACGAGUGGCGAACGGGUGAGUAAUACAUCGGAACGUGCCCGAUCGUGGGGGAUAACGCAAGGAAAGCUGUGCUAAUACCGCAUACGAUCUACGGAUGAAAGCGGGGGAUCGCAAGACCUCGCGCGGACGGAGCGGCCGAUGGCAGAUUAGGUAGUUGGUGGGAUAAAAGCUUACCAAGCCGACGAUCUGUAGCUGGUCUGAGAGGACGACCAGCCACACUGGGACUGAGACACGGCCCAGACUCCUACGGGAGGCAGCAGUGGGGAAUUUUGGACAAUGGGCGCAAGCCUGAUCCAGCCAUGCCGCGUGCAGGAUGAAGGCCUUCGGGUUGUAAACUGCUUUUGUACGGAACGAAAAAGCUCUCUCUAAUACAGGGGGUGAAUGACGGUACCGUAAGAAUAAGCACCGGCUAACUACGUGCCAGCAGCCGCGGUAA
rnacentral:rRNA from 1 species